ACUUAAUGCCAUGUUACAUAAACUGCAACAUGCGAAGAAUGGGGUCGAUGUUGUCUUAGAAAGUCAAGUAUUCACUAACCAAAAUUACCAUUUAUACAAAAAAUUGUUGAUGGGCUAUUAACACUAAUUGUAACCAUAUCUCAUAUUUAUUGUAAUUGUGACAGAUAAGGACACAUUGUUGUUUUCAGACUUGGCUGCAGCACAUGAAUCAUCUUGAAUAGCUGCCUCUGCGUUCAAAUAUGACAAUAGCUGGUGCAAAUGCCCGUUUCUGUUGCUGGUAGUCACUAUUAAAAGGGUAUCGCUAGGGGUGCAUUACACUUUGUAGGAGAUAAAGCCUGUUGCCUCCAACGUAAAAUAUUUUGAAGUUAAAACAAUUUAUUUAGAAUGGUAUGGUCCUAACACCCCAAAGAUUAUCAGGAGAAGAGCUUCUGUCCACUCACAACCGAUUUUGAAGAAAUUUUAUAAGCAGUGUGAUCCUGGUCAGUGCUCACUGUUUCAGUCUCAUUUUCUAAAUUUUAUUCCCUGUUGAAUUACUAUUUGUGUUGCACAACUCAGCAAGCAGAAAAACGACUGAAGCAGCAUGUCAUUGCAACUCUUGCAUCACUUUUGUGUGGAUGGAACUGCAGCAAGCAAUGUUUUUGGAGAGACUCGAACAACUAGAACAACUAUUUUUUGAAAAACGUUCGAGCAGCAAUUGUAACCAAGUUGACCUUAAACUAAGAUAGCCUAUUUUUUGAAAACUACUAUAAUGGACAAUGUUGCCAGUAGAAACUUUGAUAAGAUCUCAAAGCUAGGGCACGAUCUAAUUCAUUUUAGAUCAUUUGCAGUGAUGAUAUUGUACUAUACAAAUUUUGUCUUAAUCCUCGAUUUAUAAUGUAG